rnacentral:rRNA from 1 species
CCUACGGGAGGCAGCAGUAGGGAAUUUUCCGCAAUGGGCGAAAGCCUGACGCAGCAACGCCGCGUGAUUGAUUAAGCCCUUCGGGUUGUAAAGAUCUGUCAGAGGGGACGAACCUUGACAGUACGCACAGAGGAAGCACCGGCUAACUCCGUGCCAGCAGCCGCGGCAAUACGGGGGGUGUAAGCGUUGUACGGAAUCAUUGGGCGUAAAGUGUUCGUAGGUGGCAUAUUAAGUCUGGUGUUAAAUGCAGAAGCUCAACUUCUGUUCGGCACUGGAUACUGGUAAACUUGAAUGAGAUAGAGGUAAGGGGAAUUCCUGGUGUAGCGGUGAAAUGCGUAGAUAUAAGGAGGAACAUCGGAGGCGUAAGCGCUUUACUGGGUCGUAAUUGACGCUGAGGAACGAAAGCCGGGGGAGCAAAUGGGAUUAGAUACCCUUGUAGUC